ensembl:rRNA 5S_rRNA 5S ribosomal RNA
AUCUAUGGCCAAACCACCCUGAACACGCCCGAUCUUGUCUGAUCUUGGAAGCUAAGCAGGGUCGGGCCUGGUUAGUACUUGGAUGGGAGGAGUCAUUUCCCUAUACAUU